rnacentral:rRNA from 1 species
UGUUUCGGCUAGGGGGCCAUCCCGGCUUACCAACCCGAUGCAAACUGCGAAUACCGGAGAAUGUUAUCACGGGAGACACACGGCGGGUGCUAACGUCCGUCGUGAAGAGGGAAACAACCCAGACCGCCAGCUAAGGUCCCAAAGUCAUGGUUAAGUGGGAAACGAUGUGGGAAGGCCCAGACAGCCAGGAUGUUGGCUUAGAAGCAGCCAUCAUUUAAAGAAAGCGUAAUAGCUCACUGGUCGAGUCGGCCUGCGCGGAAGAUGUAACGGGGCUAAACCAUGCACCGAAGCUGCGGCAGCGACACUGUGUGUUGUUGGGUAGGGGAGCGUUCUGUAAGCCGUUGAAGGUGUGUCGUGAGGCAUGCUGGAGGUAUCAGAAGUGCGAAUGCUGACAUAAGUAACGAUAAAGCGGGUGAAAAGCCCGCUCGCCGGAAGACCAAGGGUUCCUGUCCAACGUUAAUCGGGGCAGGGUGAGUCGACCCCUAAGGCGAGGCCGAAAGGCGUAGUCGAUGGGAAACGGGUUAAUAUUCCCGUACUUGGUGUUACUGCGAAGGGGGGACGGAGAAGGCUAUGUUGGCCGGGCGACGGUUGUCCCGGUUUAAGCGUGUAGGCUGGUUUUCCAGGCAAAUCCG